rnacentral:rRNA from 1 species
GAGUUUGAUCGUGGCUCAGGAUGAACGCUGGCGGCGUGCCUAACACAUGCAAGUCGAGCGAUUCUCUUCGGAGAAGAGCGGCGGACGGGUGAGUAACGCGUGGGUAACCUGCCUCAUACACAUGGAUAACAUACCGAAAGGUAUGCUAAUACAGGAUAACAUAAGAGAUUCGCAUGUUUCUCUUAUCAAAGCUCCGGCGGUAUGAGAUGGACCCGCGUCUGAUUAGCUAGUUGGUAAGGUAAU